rnacentral:piRNA from 2 species
UGCCAUUAAUUACCUGAGAAGCGUGCUUUC